AUUGAACGCUGGCGGCAGGCCUAACACAUGCAAGUCGAGCGAGUGGCGGACGGGUGAGUAAUGUAUGGGGAACUGCCCGAUGGAGGGGGAUAACUACUGGAAACGGUAGCUAAUACCGCAUACCAUCGGAUGUGCCCAUAUGGGAUUAGCUAGUAGGUGGGGUAACGGCUCACCUAGGCGACGAUCCCUAGCUGGUCUGAGAGGAUGACCAGCCACACUGGGACUGAGACACGGCCCAGACUCCUACGGGAGGCAGCAGUGGGGAAUAUUGCACAAUGGGCGCAAGCCUGAUGCAGCCAUGCCGCGUGUAUGAAGAAGGCCUUCGGGUUGUAAAGUACUUUCAGUCGGGAGGCGUUACCCACAGAAGAAGCACCGGCUAACUCCGUGCCAGCAGCCGCGGUAAUUC
rnacentral:rRNA from 1 species